UCAUCUCUCUACUACCCAUUACUGGAGUGAUCUAUCCAGGCAGGUCCACCUCUCUACUACCCAUUACUGGAGUGAUCUAUCCAGGCAGGUUCAUCUCUCUAACACCCAUUACUGGAGUGAUCUAUCCAGGCAGGUUCAUCUCUCUAACACCCAUUACUGGAGUGAUCUAUCCAGGCAGGUUCAUCUCUCUAACACCCAUUACUGGAGUGAUCUAUCCAGGCAGGUUCAUCUCUCUAACACCCAUUACUGGAGUGAUCUAUCCAGGCAGGUUCAUCUCUCUAACACCCAUUACUGGAGUGAUCUAUCCAGGCAGGUUCAUCUCUCUAACACCCAUUACUGGAGUGAUCUAUCCAGGCAGGUUCAUCUCUCUAACACCCAUUACUGGAGUGAUCUAUCCAGGCAGGUUCAUCUCUCUAACACCCAUUACUGGAGUGAUCUAUCCAGGCAGGUUCAUCUCUCUAACACCCAUUACUGGAGUGAUCUAUCCAGGCAGGUUCAUCUCUCUAACACCCAUUACUGGAGUGAUCUAUCCAGGCAGGUUCAUCUCUCUAACACCCAUUACUGGAGUGAUCUAUCCAGGCAGGUUCAUCUCUCUAACACCCAUUACUGGAGUGAUCUAUCCAGGCAGGUUCAUCUCUCUAACACCCAUUACUGGAGUGAUCUAUCCAGGCAGGUUCAUCUCUCUAACACCCAUUACUGGAGUGAUCUAUCCAGGCAGGUUCAUCUCUCUAACACCCAUUACUGGAGUGAUCUAUCCAGGCAGGUUCAUCUCUC